rnacentral:rRNA from 1 species
UCAUUUAGAGGAAGUAAAAGUCGUAACAAGGUUUCCGUAGGUGAACGUGCGGCUUCUUGGUCAUUUAGAGGAAGUAAAAGUCGUAACAAGGUCUCCGUUGGUGAACCAGCGGAGGGAUCAUUACCGAGUUAUACAACUCCCAAACCCACUGUGAACCUUACCAGACGUUGCUUCGGCGGGACAGCCCCGGGCCUUCAGCGCCCGGAACCAGGCGCCCGCCGGGGGACACCAAACUCCACUGUAUCCAACGAGGAAUCAAUUCUGAGUGGCCUAACGGCAAGAAAAUGAAUCAAAACUUUCAACAACGGAUCUCUUGGUUCUGGCAUCGAUGAAGAACGCAGCGAAAUGCGAUAAGUAAUGUGAAUUGCAGAAUUCAGUGAAUCAUCGAAUCUUUGAACGCACAUUGCGCCCGCCAGUAUUCUGGCGGGCAUGCCUGUCCGAGCGUCAUUUCAACCCUCGCGCCCCCCCGGGGGCACGGUGUUGGGAGACGGCCCCGCCCCAUCGUGGAUGGCGGCCGCUCCCCAAAUCCAGUGGCGACCCCGCCGCAGCCUCCCCUGCGUAGUAGCUUACCAAGAAACAUCGCACUGGAGCAGCGGCCCGGCUCUGCCGUGAAACCCCCCAAUUUCAAAUGGAAGGUUGACCUCGGAUCAGGUAGGAAUACCCGCUGAACUUAAGCAUAUCAAUAAGCGGAGGAAAUGUUUGAUCUCAAAUCAGGUAGGACUACCCGCUGAACUUAAGCAUAUCAAUAAGCGGAGGAA